rnacentral:rRNA from 1 species
CUGGUGUUCAAGCUCGACUUCGCCAAGGCCUUCGACUCUAUUGCCUGGCUCAGCCUUCGCCGAAUCAUGGAGGUGCGGGGGUUCCCGGCUGCUUUGUGCGACUGGAUGGAUCUCAUCCUUCGGUCCUCGAAGGCGGCGGUGCUGCUCAACGGGGCCCCCGGCCGUUGGUUCGCGGUUCGCAAGGGCCUGCGGCAGGGUGACCCCAUCUCCGCCUACCUUUUCCUCCUGGUCGCCGACAUGCUACAACGCAUGAUCCGAUCGGAUGGGGCUCUUCGACACCCCUUGUGCGAGGGGGAGCCGCCGGUGGUGCUCCAGUAUGCCGAUGACACCCUGAUCAUCAUGCAUGCUGAGGCGGGGGCACGGCUAGGCUGCGCGUCAUCCUCGACCAAUUCGCCGCUGCUACGGGGCUCGUCAUCAACUUCUCCAAAAGCACCCUCGUCCCCAUGCAUGUGGACGCGGCGGUGCUUGCGGCGGUAG